CUUAUGAUAUCCUUGACUUGCACCGCAUAUCUGACCCCAAAUGCUUGGACACAUUUCCAAACCUGAAGGACUUCGUUUCUCACUUUGAGGGCUUGAAGAAAAUCUCUGCCUACAUGAAGAGCAGCCGCUUUCUCCCAACACCUUUGUAUACAAAGGUGGCCACAUGGGGCAAUAAGUAGAGCUUUGAAAGGAUAGUGAGAAGUCCAUUUUGCCCCUGCCUGGGACUCUAGGAAACAGCUGGACCCCUGCAGCCCUAGCCCCAAACAGAUGAUAGCCAUCCAUGGAGGCAUGGGGCAGGAGCUCAGCAUUCUUAGAUCACAGCCAUACAUAGUCAAAGCACUCAUUGUUGGUACCAGUAAGUCUUGAUUGUAACGCCUUUUACAUUGUUUAUUUUCUUCCUUUAAAUGGAUUGAUAAUGUUGGGAAAUAAACUUGACCACUGUUAAACAUUUUAACAGCGGUUAAAGGAGCUGGAGCCUGACUGGCUUGAGCAAAGAAUGAAUAGUUACAAAUGUGUCCCCAAAUCAUGACUCUGGUGCCAGAAUGCACUGACCAGCAAGUAGCUUGUAUUGGACUUUUGCCACCACUAGCCUUGUGAACUCUAGAAGACCCUAUGGUCACUCUCACCCAGACUAGCCAGGGAACACCUCAUUACCCUAGUGGCCCAGCAGAAGACUUGUGAUUGGUGCAAACAAAACCCUUCAUUUGCAUGAAGGAAUUCAAUGAUUGGUGUAGACCCAUGGCAAGUCCUGUUUCUUACUGUGUCAGCAGGCUGUGUGGCUUACUUUGUGCACAUCAUGAGAAAAUCUCUUUGCUUUUCCUUGUUAUUACAACAUAAGGCCCAAAUAAAGAGUGAUUUUCUUUGCCUA